UACGGGGGGGGCAAGCGUUGUUCGGAAUUACUGGGCGUAAAGGGCUCGUAGGUGGCCAACUAAGUCAGACGUGAAAUCCCUCAGCUUAACAGGGGAACUGCGUCUGAUACUGGAUGGCUUGAGAUUGGGAGAGGGAUGCGGAAUUCCAGGUGUAGCGGUGAAAUGCGUAGAUAUCUGGAGGAACACCGGUGGCGAAGGCGGCAUCCUGGACCAACACUGACACUGAGGAGCGAAAGCCAGGGGAGCAAACGGG
rnacentral:rRNA from 1 species